AUUGAACGCUGGCGGCAGGCCUAACACAUGCAAGUCGAACGGUAACAGGAAGCAGCUUGCUGCUUUGCUGACGAGUGGCGGACGGGUGAGUAAUGUCUGGGAAACUGCCUGAUGGAGGGGGAUAACUACUGGAAACGGUAGCUAAUACCGCAUAACGUCGCAAGACCAAAGAGGGGGACCUUCGGGCCUCUUGCCAUCGGAUGUGCCCAGAUGGGAUUAGCUAGUAGGUGGGGUAACGGCUCACCUAGGCGACGAUCCCUAGCUGGUCUGAGAGGAUGACCAGCCACACUGGAACUGAGACACGGUCCAGACUCCUACGGGAGGCAGCAGUGGGGAAUAUUGCACAAUGGGCGCAAGCCUGAUGCAGCCAUGCCGCGUGUAUGAAGAAGGCCUUUCGGGUUGUAAAGUACUUUUCAGCGGGGAGGAAGGCGAUAAGGUUAAUAACCUUGUCGAUUGACGUUACCCGCGAAGA
rnacentral:rRNA from 1 species